rnacentral:rRNA from 1 species
GCCCUAGACAAUAUCUAAGGUGUAACCUGCCCAGUGAUCUUUAAUUAAAACAAGAUAAAAUCUUGUUAAUAAGAUUAAAAGGACGCGGUAACCUUGACCGUGAUAAUGUAGCAUAAUCACUCGCCAUUUAAUUGAUGGAUAGUAUGAAUGGUUGAACGAAUAUUCCACUGUCUUAGAAAGAAUUAAGAAAAAUUGAAGUAGUAGUUAAGAUACUAUUUAAAACUGUAAGACGAAAAGACCCUAUAGAGCUUAACUAUAGUCUUUUUAUUUAAUAAAAAACAAUGUUUUUAAAUUUAAAAAGAUUGGUAGUUUAGUUGGGGCGACUGCUUUCUAAAUUUAACGAAAGUAAGCAAUGUUAAUAUAUAACUUAUUGUAUAGUUAAAAGGCUUAACAAUUAUAAUCGUAGGCUAUAAUGACCCGUUUUUACUAAGUAAAAAGAAAAACGAUCAAUUGAUAAAAGCUACCUUAGGGAUAACAGGAUAAUUUCAUUUUAGAGUUCCUAUCGAAAAUGAAGUUUGUCACCUCUAUGUUGAAUUAAGAUAUCCUGAUAAUGCAGAAGUUAUCAAAGGUAGGUCUGUUCGACCUUUAAAAUCUU